rnacentral:rRNA from 1 species
CCUACGGGAGGCAGCAGUGAGGAAUAUUGGUCAAUGGGCGGAAGCCUGAACCAGCCAAGUAGCGUGCAGGAUGACGGCCCUACGGGUUGUAACCUGCUUUUAUACGGGAAUAACGAGCCUUACGUGUAGGGCUUUGUAUGUACCGUAUGAAUAAGGAUCGGCUAAUUCCGUGACAGCAGCCGCGGUAAUACGGAAGGUCCGGGCGUUAUCCGGAUUUAUUGGGUUUAAAGGGUGCGUAGGCCGCAUGUCAAGCGUGCUGUGAAAUGUUCGGGCUCAACCCGUGCCUUGCAGUGCGAACUGGCUGGCUUGAGUCCGCGGAAAGCAGGCGGAAUGCGUCGUGUAGCGGUGAAAUGCUUAGAUAUGACGAAGAACCCCGAUUGCGAAGGCAGCUUGCUGCAGCAUAACUGACGCUGAUGCUCGAAAGCGCGGGUAUCGAACAGGAUUAGAUACCCUGGUAGUC